rnacentral:rRNA from 1 species
AUUGAACGCUGGCGGCAUGCCUUACACAUGCAAGUCGAACGGUAACAGGUCUUCGGAUGCUGACGAGUGGCGAACGGGUGAGUAAUACAUCGGAACGUGCCCGAGAGUGGGGGAUAACGAGGCGAAAGCUUUGCUAAUACCGCAUACGAUCUCAGGAUGAAAGCAGGGGACCGCAAGGCCUUGCGCUCACGGAGCGGCCGAUGGCAGAUUAGGUAGUUGGUGGGAUAAAAGCUUACCAAGCCGACGAUCUGUAGCUGGUCUGAGAGGACGACCAGCCACACUGGGACUGAGACACGGCCCAGACUCCUACGGGAGGCAGCGGUGGGGAAUUUUGGACAAUGGGCGCAAGCCUGAUCCAGCCAUGCCGCGUGCAGGAUGAAGGCCUUCGGGAUGUAAACUGCUUUUGUACGGAACGAAAAGACUCUGGUUAAUACCUGGGGUCCAUGACGGUACCGUAAGAAUAAGCGCCGGCUAACUACGUGCCAGCCGCCGCGGUAACAC